rnacentral:rRNA from 1 species
AGAGUUUGAUCCUGGCUCAGAACGAACGCUGGCGGCACGUUUUAAGCAUGCAAGUCGAGGGGCAGCAGGGUAGCAAUACCGCUGGCGACCGGCGCACGGGUGAGUAACGCGUGAGAAUCUACCUUAAGAUGGGGGAUAGUCAGUGGAAACAUUGGGUAAUACCGCAUAUGCCGAGAGGUGAAAGCUUCUUUUGAAGCGUCUUGAGAUGAGCUUGCGUCUGAUUAGUUAGUUGGUGGGGUAAAUGCUUACCAAGACUACGAUCAGUAGCCGGCCUGAGAGGGUGAACGGCCACAAUGGAACUGAGACACGGUCCAUACUCCUACGGGAGGCAGCAGCUAAGAAUCUUCCGCAAUGGGAGCAAUCCUGACGGAGCGAUGCCGCGUGGAUGAUGAAGGCGGAAACGUUGUAAAAUCCUUUUAUAUGGGAAGAAUAAUUAUGGUGAGAGAAACGCCGUAGGAUGACGGUACCAUAUGAAUAAGCUUCGGCUAACUACGUGCCAGCAGCCGCGGUAAUACGUAGGAAGCAAGCGUUGUUCGGAAUUAUUGGGCGUAAAGGGCAUGUAGGUGGUUUGAUAAGUGUGGAUUUAAAGACCGGGGCUUAACUCCGAGUUCGGUCUGCAAACUGUCAAACUAGAGUGUAGAAGGGGAGAGUGGAAUUCCGCGUGUAGGGGUGAAAUCUGUAGAUACGCGGAAGAAUACCGGUGGCGAAGGCGACUCUCUGGUCUACAACUGACUCUAAAAUGCGAAAGUGUGGGGAUCAAACAGGAUUAGAUACCCUGGUAGUCCACACCGUAAACUUUGUACACUAGGUGUUAGAGAUAAUGAUUUCUCUAGUGCCGUAGCUAACGCGUUAAGUGUACCGCCUGGGGAGUAUGCUCGCAAGAGUGAAAAUCAAAGGGAAUUGACCGGGGGCCUGCACAAGCGGUGGAAGCAUGUGGGUUUAAUUCAAUGAAACCCCGAAAAACCUUACCCUAGACUUGAACUUAUAAAUGAACGGGUGUAAAGAAUACCCUUUCCCGCAAGGGC